AUAAUGAUACUCCUGCUCAGUCACAAGUCGAGCGUGAUAAAACCGUCGCAACUAAUGAGAGCAGCUCGGAUGAACUCGGAGAGGUGAGACUCCUGUGG
ncrna:unclassified sequences pemK RNA